rnacentral:rRNA from 1 species
GACGAACGCUGGCGGCGUGCUUAACACAUGCAAGUCGAACGGAAAGGCCCUGCUUUUGUGGGGUGCUCGAGUGGCGAACGGGUGAGUAACACGUGAGUAACCUGCCCUUGACUUUGGGAUAACUUCAGGAAACUGGGGCUAAUACCGGAUAGGAGCUCCUGCUGCAUGGUGGGGGUUGGAAAGUUUCGGCGGUUGGGGAUGGACUCGCGGCUUAUCAGCUUGUUGGUGGGGUAGUGGCUUACUAAGGCUUUGACGGGUAGCCGGCCUGAGAGGGUGACCGGCCACAUUGGGAAUGAGAUACGGCCCAGACUCCUACGGGAGGCAGCAGUGGGGAAUAUUGCACAAUGGGCGGAAGCCUGAUGCAGCAACGCCGCGUGCGGGAUGACGGCCUUCGGGUUGUAAACCGCUUUCGCCUGUGACGAAGCGUGAGUGACGGUAAUGGGUAAAGAAGCACCGGCUAACUACGUG